rnacentral:lncRNA from 1 species
GCAGCUGUCCGGUUCGCCAAGCUGGUCCAGCCGACCUGUGCCCGGGGCCCCAGUUCAACGAGCUGGAGGACAAGGGACUCGCCCCGCGAGGCCUCGGUUUGGAUGGGCAGUCGCGGGCUGGAGAGAAGGGGAGGCGCUGUGCCUUCCGGGGAGGAGCGGGUUUAAGGGUUCCUUUUUGACCUUUAUUCCCAGGACCGAUUCUGGGGCGAGUGCUUGGCGCCAGGGCACGGGGGCGGGGGCCCUGACUGCCUCAGCCGAAAAAUAGUCUGUUGUGAGGAAUUAGCACCUAGGAGGUAGGAAUGAAACGCUGGGCACAGAGAGGCUCGGCCACUCCGCUAAGGCCACACAGCUCCAAGGGGAGGCGGUGCCCUGCCGAACUGCGCCCAGAUCAGUGGCAAUGUUGAACUUCACCUUUUCACACGAAAAGAGCAAGGGACAUUCCUGGAGGGGACAGGAGAGGUGGAGGCUUACAUGAACAGGGAAACCCGGGAGGGCUUCCAGAAGGAGGUGGCUUCUAGGCUGGAGCUUGAAGGACAAAUGAGAAUUCCUCGGGUAGAAAUGGAGACCGGGGAGAGGAGAGAACAGAGAAGGGUCCCGAUAGAUCUGUGGAUUCCUGGCACCUAGCUGCUCACUCUGAGUCUAAUGAAUGAGCGCGUAGACCGAAUGGCUGGGAAGCAGCAAGUGAUUCCAGGCUGCUGGGGGAGGACGGCGGAGGAAAGGAGGCCGUGUCUGCAGCACCUGCAGGACCAGGUGUCUUAGAACAGAGGCCCGUUCCUCAGGCACUGGCAGUGCAGCCACCAAGUAAGGCUGUGCCCCACCUUCAGGAGAACAGGAGGAAAUGCCUGGGUAAAGACUAAUUAAAUACGCAGGCAAAAUAACAAAUGCCUGCGUUCUUUUUUUUUUUUUUCUUCAGUCAGAGUCUUGCUCUGUCGCCCAGGCUGUAUAUGCAGUGGUGUGAUCUUGGCUCACUGCAACCUCCACCUCCCAGGUUCAAGCUAUUCUCAUGCCUCAGCCUCCCAAGUAGCUGGAAUUACAGGCUCCCGCCACCACACCCGGCUAAUUUUUGUAUUUUUAGUAGAGACCAGGUUUCACCAUGGUGGCCAGGCUUGCCUCAAACUCCCGACCUCAGGUGAUCCGCCCACCUCGGCCUCCCAAAGUGCUGGUAUUACAGGCAUGAGCCACCGCACCCAGCCCAUUUACUUUUAUAUAAAUGAAAUGGCAUACACAUUCCAUAACCUCCUUUUUAUUAUGUAAUUUUCAUCAAAUGUUAUGCAUGCGAGGUAGGCUGGGCAAUUUACAUGUAUGUUUUCACAAAUAGCAAAUACCAUGGACCCGCUAUUGAGCUUUAAGAACAAAAUAUUACCGAAGACUUAGAUCCUCCCUUUCAGUUCCUCCCCAGUUCCAGCACCUUCUUCCCCUCUUCCCUGCUAUCCUGAGACAUCACAAUCCAGAUUCCAUCAAUUCAUUACUUUUCUUUAAAGGUUUACCAUAUAUGGAUAUAUCCCUAAACAAUUAUGGGGAAGACUAUUUGUCUCUUUUUUUUUUUUUUUUGAGACAGAGUCUCACUCUGUCACCCAGUCUGGAGUGCAGUGGCACAAUCUCAGCUUGCUUCAGCCUUUCCCUCCUGGGCUAAAGUGAUCCUCCCACUUCAGGCCCUCAGUAGCUGAAACUACAGGUGUGUGCCACCAUGCCCAGCUAAUUUUCACUUUUUUUGUAGAGAUGGGAUUUUGUCAUGUUGUCCAGGCUGGUCUCAAACUCCUGGGUUCAAUCGAUCUGCUCACCUCGGCCUCCCAAAGUGCUGGGAUUACAGGCGUGAGCCACUGCGCCCAGCUGACUCUCUGUCUCUUAAUAUUCGUUUAUUCCAUUUUCCAAAUUAAUAGGAAUUGGCCUGCACGUAUGACUGCCUAGGAUAAAAAAUACACUUCCAGCCGAGCAUGGCGGCUCACACCUGUAAUCCCAGCACUUUGAGAGGCCGAGGCAGGCAGAUCACGAGGUCAGGAAUUUGAGGCCAGCCUGGCAAACAUGGUGAAACCCCAUCUCUGCUAAAGAUACAAAAAAUUAGCCAGGCGUGGUGGCGCGCACCUGUAAUCCCAGGUUCUUGGGAGGCUGAGCCAGGAGAAUCGCUUGAACCCGGGAGGCAGAGGUUGCCGUGAGCCAAGAGCGUGCCAUUGCACUCCAGCCUGGGCAACAGGGCAAGACUUUGUCUCAAAAAAAUAAAUAAAAGACUGGGCGCGGUGGCACACGCCUGUAAUCCCAGCACUUUGGGAGGCCAAGGUGGGUGGAUCACGAGGUCAGGAGAUCGAGACCAUCCUGGCCAAUAUGGUGAAACUCUGUCUACUAAAAAUACAAAAAUUAGCCGGGCGUGAUGGUGUGUGCCUGUAAUCCCAGCCACUCAGGAGGCUGAGGCAGGAGAAUCGCUUGAACCAGGGAGUCGGAGGUUGCAGUGAGCCGAGAUCGCGCCACAGCACUCCAGCCUGGCGACAGAGUGAGACUCCGUCUCAAAAAAAAAAAAAAAGAAUACACUUGCCAGUGUCCCUUGCAGGUAGGGCUGGCUAUGUGACCAAGUUUUGGACAAUAAGAAGCAGAAAUGACAGGAGAAACUUCUAGGUCAUUUCUUAGGAGGGGGUCUGCCGCUCCUUCAUCAUGCUGUUUGGAACCUAGACACGAUGGUAGGAAGCCAUCUCGGACAGUGCAGACAAGGGUGAUACCGUGGCAGAGUGGAGCACCAAGCUAGAAGGAUCCUGGAUCCCUGGACAACUCAUGGAGCCAAGCCACCAUGCCCAUCCACGACUACCUCCUCCCAGCUGCUCUGGGAGGGAGAGACAAACCUGCUCCUUGCGCUCACCAUGAUUUUGGACUCUGUUUCAUGAACCCAAAGCUGUAGCCUACCUAGUUCAGUAGUGUAUUGGGAUGGGGCACCUUUGCAUUUUGGACUAUUGUAAGAAUUGAAUUACAUAUAUGUGCUAUUCUGCAACUUUCUUUUUCACUCAACUUUGUCACACUUAAAUUUCUUUUUUUGUCUUUUUUUUUUCCUUUUUGUGGAGAACGGGGUCUCACUGUAUUGCCCAGGCAGGUCUCGAACUCCUGGGCUCAAGCCGUCUUCCUGCCUCUGCCUCCCUGAGAGCUGGGAUUACAGGCAUGAGCCACCACACCCGGCCAGUUCAACUUUGUUCACAAGAAUUGCCAUCAUGUUGCAUGUGCUCUGAGUCUCAUUCUUGCUGCUCUGUGGAACUCCGUUACUUAAAUAGCCCAGAUCCGCAUCCAUUCUCCUGCCGAGGGCACCUGAGUUGUGUCCAGUCACUUGCCUCAGAGACAGUGAUCCAGUGAACAGAUUUGUCUCCUGAACGUGUGUUUGUUCAAGUCUCUCUAGGGUAAACACCUACAAGUGGAACUGCAGAGUAUGCGUAUGCAUACCUAAAUGACUUUACUAGAUCUUGCCAAAUUGCUCUUCAAAGUAGCUAUAAGAGCUCUUCCUGGUUUACAGCAAAGCCGUUCUGAGGAAUUUCGGUGCUCGAUAAUAACCAACUCUGUGUCCUUCGAUGCGGGUUUGAUGUCUCCUCAUUGCUGUAGUUUUUCAUUAAACAAAUUACCACAAACUAAGCAGCUUCAACAACACAAAUUCGUUACGCAUGGGCUCUGGAGGUCAGAAGUCCAGCACAGAUCGAGGUGUCGGCAGGCUGCCUGCCUUCUGGAAGCUCCGGGAGACAGCUGGCUUCCUGCUCUUUGGUUGUUGGCUGAGUCCAGCCCCUUAGGGUCGCAGGACCAAGGUUCCUGUUUUCUUGCCGGCUGCCCCCUGAAGCUGUCCCCAGCUUCUGAAGGCCUUCUGUUCCCUGGCUCACAGCCCCUUUCCCUAACUUCCCCAUGGAGAGGAGCCAGUCCUCCUGUCCCAUCUCCGGCCCAGCUGAGGAAGGUUUUCCAACCCUAAGGUUUCGUGCGAUUAGAUGGAGCCCAUCUGGAUAAUCUGGGAUCAUCUGCCAUCUCAAGGUCUAACCUUAAUCACAUCUGCAAAGUCCCUUUUGCCAAGUGAGGUCACAUUCACGGGUUCCGGUAUGAGGGGUGCACACCUUAGGGGGCCGCAAUGCUGCCGGCCACCGUCACGCUGAGAUUCAGGCCAUGUGUCCCUGUCACAGAAGUGAAGCCUUUUGGACACUGCAUCCCAUCUGUGGUGCACAGUGGCCGUGGGACCCAGGGCUCUUGAGUUUCCUGUCGCCUGCUGGGCUAGGCUUCACCGCUGCAGCCACCUCUUCUGUGGACCUGGUGAAUGCUUUGUGGGGAUGGGGGUGUCUUCCACGCUGAGUAUCCUGGGCCUUAGUGAGCUUUCGGUCAGCCUCCAGCAGUAUGGGCUCAGGGUUCCUAUCUUAUUCUGUGGGUCAGGACCCCUGACUCACUAUUGAGAUGCUCAGGGUAUCCCAGGCUCGGCCUUGUGGGAGCCCUAUCGGCUGGCCCCUGGGUCCUUCCGUGUGUCCCUGAUGUGAUCCCAGCAUUCUUGCUUCCCGGCUCCCUGGGAUGUUCUUGUGCUUUUCCUGCCCAGGCUGGGCUCGCCAUUUCCCCCAGGAGCCCUGGUUUCUGGGAGAGGGAACCUCCUGAGGGAGGGGGAGUUAGCGGCCGAGAUCUGGGUGCUGGGUGUGCUUGUGGCGCCUGGGUUCCCUCUGGACAGAGCAAGAAGAGAUGUUGGGGGUGUGUGUGUAUGAUGUGUGUGUGGUAUGUGUGGGGUGUGUUAUGUCUAUGGCGUGUGUGUAUGAUGUGUCUGUGGUAUGUGUGGGAUGUGUUAUGUCUGUGGUGUGUGUGUAUGGUGCAUGUGUCUGUGGUUGUGUGCGUGUGUGUGGCAUUUGUGGGGUAUGUAUAAUGUGUGUGUGUCUAUGUAUAGUGUGUGUGGUGUGUAUGGCCGUGUAUGAUUGUGUGGUGCGUGUGUGUGUUUAGUGUGUGUGUGGAUGGUGUGUGUGGCGCAUGUGUGGGUGGAUGGUGUGUUGCACGCGUGUGUGCGUGGGUGGAUGGUGUGUUGCACACGUGUGUGGUGCGUGUGUGGGUGGAUGGUGUGUUACACACGUGUGUGGUGGGUGUGUGGCUGCGUGGUGUUUGCACGUAUGUGUGGUGCAUGUGUGGGUGGAUGGUGUGUUGCACGCAUGUGUGUGGUGCAUGUGUGGGUGGAUGGUGUGUU